rnacentral:rRNA from 1 species
UACGUAGGGGGCAAGCGUUGUCCGGAUUUAUUGGGCGUAAAGAGCGUGUAGGCGGCCUGACAGGUCUGCUGUGAAAACUCGAGGCUCAACCUCGAGCUGUCGGCGGAAACCAUCUGGCUAGAGUCCGGAAGAGGAGAGUGGAAUUCCUGGUGUAGCGGUGAAAUGCGCAGAUAUCAGGAAGAACACCUAUGGCGAAGGCAGCUCUCUGGGACGGUACUGACGCUGAGACGCGAAAGCGUGGGGAGCGAACAGG